rnacentral:tRNA from 1 species
AAAGGAUUAGUUAAAAUAUAACACUAGAAUGUCAGCCUAGAAUUACUAAUAAAUUAGUAUUCUUUA